GAUGAACGCUGGCGGCGUGCCUAAUACAUGCAAGUCGAGCGAAUGGAUUAAGAGCUUGCUCUUAUGAAGUUAGCGGCGGACGGGGGAGUAACACGUGGGUAACCUGCCCAUAAGACUGGGAUAACUCCGGGAAACCGGGGCUAAUACCGGAUAACAUUUUGAACCGCAUGGUUCGAAAUUGAAAGGCGGCUUCGGCUGUCACUUAUGGAUGGACCCGCGUCGCAUUAGCUAGUUGGUGAGGUAACGGCUCACCAAGGCAACGAUGCGUAGCCGACCUGAGAGGGUGAUCGGCCACACUGGGACUGCGACACGGCCCAGACUCCUACGGGAGGCAGCAGUAGGGAAUCUUCCGCAAUGGACGAAAGUCUGACGGAGCAACGCCGCGUGAGUGAUGAAGGCUUUCGGGUCGUAAAACUCUGUUGUUAGGGAAGAACAAGUGCUAGUUGAAUAAGCUGGCACCUUGACGGUACCUAACCAGAAAGCCACGGCUAACUACGUGCCAGCAGCCGCAGUAA
rnacentral:rRNA from 1 species